AUACGGAGGGUGCGAGCGUUAAUCGGAAUUACUGGGCGUAAAGGGUGCGUAGGCGGCUUGAUAAGUCGGAUGUGAAAGCCCCGCGCUUAACCUGGGAAUUGCAUUCGAUACUGUCAGGCUAGAGUAUGGCAGAGGUUGGCGGAAUUCCUGGUGUAGCGGUGAAAUGCGUAGAUAUCAGGAGGAACACCAGUGGCGAAGGCGGCUAACUGGGGCAAUACUGACGCUGAGGCACGAAAGCGUGGGGAGCAAACAGGAUUAGAAACCCUAGUAGUCC
rnacentral:rRNA from 1 species